GACGAACGCUGGCGGCGUGCUUAACACAUGCAAGUCGAACGGAAAGGCCCUGCUUUUGUGGGGUGCUCGAGUGGCGAACGGGUGAGUAACACGUGAGUAACCUGCCCUUGACUUUGGGAUAACUUCAGGAAACUGGGGCUAAUACCGGAUAGGAGCUCCUGCUGCAUGGUGGGGGUUGGAAAGUUUCGGCGGUUGGGGAUGGACUCGCGGCUUAUCAGCUUGUUGGUGGGGUAGUGGCUUACCAAGGCUUUGACGGGUAGCCGGCCUGAGAGGGUGACCGGCUACAUUGGGACUGAGAUACGGCACAGACUCCUACGGGAGGCAGCGGUGGGGAAUAUUGCACAAUGGGCGGAAGCCUGAUGCAGCAACGCCGCGUGCGGGAUGACGGCCUUCGGGUUGUAAACCGCUUUCGCCUGUGACGAAGCGUGAGUGACGGUAAUGGGUAAAGAAGCACCGGCUAACUACGUG
rnacentral:rRNA from 1 species